UUUAUCCACUGAGACAAACUGGCCAGGGCCUUAAAAAUUGUCUAUAUGAUUUGUGAGAGUGAAAAUCUUGUGAUGACUUACCACAAAAUUUAAAUAUAGAUAAAUGGUGUUGACACCAAUCAAAUAUAGCUCCUCUGAUUGGUUAUCUAGAAUUCUGUUGAUGGACGAGAUAGAUUCCUGUUUAAUGGUGGCCUUAUUACAUUUUAAGAGACAAAAGCAUGGCUUUUAAUCACAACUGUAAUGAUUGAUGUUAUGUUCUGGUAUUGGCUUUUGUUUCAUUUAUUAAAUUUCUCUCUCUAUAUAUUUUUAAUGUGCCCUGAGAUAUGUAGACCCUGAAAAGAAAGAUUGAUUUGUUGAGCACUUUGAGAAGGAAUUAAUCUGCUGAGGUGGAUUCCCCAUGGUCAAGAAGGGCCCACAUUUUAUAAAUAAUAAGAACCUAACAACCAUUUGCUGACAGGGGCUUCUCAUGUACUUUUGUUUAUUGCCAAUGGACUAAGACCUGCUCCAUCGAAUCAGAACUACUCCAUAACUACCAAUCAGGAUCCAUAAUGUUGGCCAAUCAGGAAUGUGUGAUUUAGGUCAAUCAGAAGUGAUGAUUUUGGAUACCUCAUUUACAUAAAACAGACAAUAUUGGGAACUUAAGUGGGAACUUUCCCUAUUAAAAGUGGCCUCCCCUUUGUCUCAGCAGAGCACAAUUUAGUUUGCUACCUGAAUCUGUGUCUCCUGGGCUGCACUUCUUUUGCUCAAAUAAAUGAUUUCUUAUUCUUUG